rnacentral:rRNA from 1 species
GACGAACGCUGGCGGCGUGCCUAACACAUGCAAGUCGAACGGAACUGUUUUGAAAGAUUUCUUCGGAAUGAAUUUGAUUUAGUUUAGUGGCGGACGGGUGAGUAACGCGUGAGUAACCUGCCUUCAAGAGGGGAAUAACAUUCUGAAAAGAAUGCUAAUACCGCAUGACAUAUCGGAACCACAUGGUUUUGAUAUCAAUGAUUUUAUCGCUUGAAGAUGGACUCGCGUCCGAUUAGUUAGUUGGUGAGGUAACGGCUCACCAAGACCGCGAUCGGUAGCCGGACUGAGAGGUUGACCGGCCACAUUGGGACUGAGACACGGCCCAGACUCCUACGGGAGGCAGCAGUGGGGGAUAUUGCGCAAUGGGGGCAACCCUGACGCAGCAACGCCGCGUGAAGGAUGAAGGUUUUCGGAUUGUAAACUUCUUUUAUUAAGGACGAAAAAUGACGGUACUUAAUGAAUAAGCUCCGGCUAACUACGUG